AGAACAAUGAAUUGUUUUGAUACCUCACCAGGUGGCGUUUUAAAUGUAAACAAUAUUGCUGUAUGUGGAGUUGAGAGACUACGAAGGAGACUUUACAUUAUUAAUAACAAACGACAACGAAAGUGAUCGAGGUAGACCCAAAUGACACCGUCCUUAUCAAUUGAUUGCAAUAUCGUCAUGGAUGUAUCUCCGUGAUGUCGUGUAUUAUAUAUAAAUAUAGCAAAGUGAAUUCACAACAAAUUCACAACAGGAAAGAAUGUCCGGACUCGAUCGUGAAAGGGCAACAGAACUUACCAACUAUACAUAGCCAACAAUUUUGUCAAUAAUCAAGCUUCCUACAAAAAUUGUGGAUAGAAAUUAAAUACAAUAUAG